UAGGGAAUAUUGGACAAUGGGCGCAAGCCUGAUCCAGCCAUGCCGCGUGAGUGAAGAAGGCCCUCGGGUUGUAAAGCUCUUUUGUCCGGAAAGAAAAGCUUUGGGUUAAUACCCCGAAGUCCUGACGGUACCGGAAGAAUACGCACCGGCUAACUUCGUGCCAGCAGCCGCGGUAAUACGAAGGGUGCAAGCGUUACUCGGAAUUACUGGGCGUAAAGCGUGCGUAGGUGGUUCGUUAAGUCUGAUGUGAAAGCCCUGGGCUCAACCUGGGAAUGGCAUUGGAUACUGGCGGGCUAGAGUGCGGUAGAGGGCAGGGGAAUUCCCGGUGUAGCAGUGAAAUGCGUAGAGAUCGGGAGGAACAUCUGUGGCGAAGGUGACUGCCUGGACCAGCACUGACACUGAGGCACGAAAGCGUGGGGAGCAAACAGG
rnacentral:rRNA from 1 species